AGUGAACGCUGGCGGUAGGCCUAACACAUGCAAGUCGAACGGCAGCACCGUAAGAGCUUGCUCUUACGGGUGGCGAGUGGCGGACGGGUGAGGAAUACAUCGGAAUCUACUUUUUCGGGGGAGAUAACGUAGGGAAACUUACGCUAAUACCGCAUACGACCUUCGGUUGAAAGCAGGGGAGAUUCGGACCUUGCGCGGUUGGAUGAGCAGAUGUCGAAUUAGCUAGUUGGCGGGGUAAAGGGCCACCAAGGCGACGAUCCGUAGCUGGUCUGAGAGGAUGAUCAGACACACUAGAACUGAGACAAGGUCAAGACUCCUACGGGAGGCAGCAGUGGGGAAUAUUCGGCAAUGGGCGGAAGCCUGAUCCAAUCAUACCGAGUGUGUAACGACAGCGUUGGGGUUGUAAAGCCCUCAUUUUGGGAAAGAAAAGCAGCAGGUUCAUACGACGCGGUUCUGACGGUACCCAAUGAAUAAGCACCGGCUAACUUCGUG
rnacentral:rRNA from 1 species